rnacentral:rRNA from 1 species
ACUCCUACGGGAGGCAGCAGUGGGGAAUAUUGCACAAUGGGCGCAAGCCUGAUGCAGCCAUGCCGCGUGUGUGAAGAAGGCCUUCGGGUUGUAAAGCACUUUCAGUUGUGAGGAAGGUGGUGUCGUUAAUAGCGGCAUCAUUUGACGUUAGCAACAGAAGAAGCACCGGCUAACUCCGUGCCAGCAGCCGCGGUAAUACGGAGGGUGCGAGCGUUAAUCGGAAUUACUGGGCGUAAAGCGCAUGCAGGUGGUUUGUUAAGUCAGAUGUGAAAGCCCGGGGCUCAACCUCGGAAUUGCAUUUGAAACUGGCAGACUAGAGUACUGUAGAGGGGGGUAGAAUUUCAGGUGUAGCGGUGAAAUGCGUAGAGAUCUGAAGGAAUACCGGUGGCGAAGGCGGCCCCCUGGACAGAUACUGACACUCAGAUGCGAAAGCGUGGGGAGC